UACGUAGGUGGCAAGCGUUGUCCCGAUUUAUUGGGCGUAAAGCGCGCGCAGGCGGUCCUUUACGUCUGAUGUGAAAUCUCGGGGCUCAACCCCGAGCGGUCAUUGGAAACUGGGAGACUUGAGUGCAGAAGAGAAGAGCGGAAUUCCACGUGUAGCGGUGAAAUGCGUAGAGAUGUGGAGGAACACCAGUGGCGAAGGCGGCUCUUUGGUCUGUAACUGACGCUGAGGCGCGAAAGCGUGGGGAGCGAACAGG
rnacentral:rRNA from 1 species